UACAGAGGUCUCAAGCGUUGUUCGGAUUUAUUGGGCGUAAAGGGUGCGUAGGCGGCGGGGCAAGUCAGGUGUGAAAUCCCGGAGCUCAACUCCGGAACUGCACUUGAUACUGCCUCGCUAGAGUACUGGAGAGGAGACUGGAAUUUACGGUGUAGCAGUGAAAUGCGUAGAGAUCGUAAGGAAGACCAGUGGCGAAGGCGAGUCUCUGGACAGUUACUGACGCUGAGGCACGAAGGCCAGGGGAGCAAACGGG
rnacentral:rRNA from 1 species